UCGUCUCUCGCCUCACACAAAGUCAGAGAUGUCCAAACUCUAGUGCCACCUCUGAACGAAAACCUCCAUUAUUGCCCUCAAGAGAGCUCAGGCCACCACCAAAAUCAGGCCAUAAAACCCUCACCCACCACUUACCCUUAAUCCACCACUCACUUCCCUCAAACAUCACCAGAAAUCUCCAAACUUCUCAGAACCCUAGCGACAACCACCCCAAUCUUCAAACCCACCAGUGGAGGCACCUCCUCGAAUUAACUCCAAAAAUACACCCUACACUCUCCUCCAUCCUUACACCCCAAAUAUGCAAAUAAUUUCCUUCGAAUCAAGCUCGAAUUGGUCGAAUCUUUGAAUGAAGGUUUGAAUGGAAAACCUAGCCUCUCAAAACUCAUCAAUCUGGGAUCCGGGAUGGGAUGCAAGGCUAAGACCAAUGAAUUUAUCAAGGAGUGACCCUAGUUCGAGCUGUGAUUGAGUAAGUUUCUCCCUUCUUUCUUUCGAUUUUUCUUUCACUUUCUUUCUUAUCCCUUUUCUCUUGGUGGUCGAAAUUUGUUAGGUUAUUUGUAGCAUUAACUAGGUCCUUUUCUUUCCUUGGGUCCACUGAACAAUCUAAACUCUUUGGGUCACUCUGGCUGUGAUCUAUAGUUUUCAUGUUAAUAAGCGUUUAAUGCUUGUUAAUCAGUUCAAUCACCUAGUAACAAAAAUAUGUCCAUUAUUGAUUUGCUUUUAUGAAAUCAAAGUGUUUAACUCAUUAAUUUGGCCUUUUUAUUUCGUUUGUCUUUAGAAGAAUAGUUGUGGGUUUGUCGGGGGAGGGGGGGAUUGACUUUGUUUUAAUGGGUUUGCAAACAACAAUAGGCCCAAGCGAGAAUUUAAUGUUGGGUUUCUGGCCUAGUUGGUUUUUGGCCAAUUGACCCGGAAAGUUUAAAGGUAAUAAACAUGGUUUUAAAGGGUAACCUAGGAAUUGUAGGGUAGAGAAUCUUGGAUAACUGCUUAAAGAAGUUCCUAGUAACUUCUAGCAGGGGCUGGUUUUAAUUUGAUACUAUGACUUGGCUAACAAGUCAAAACAUUAGGGACUAUAGGGCAAAAAUAAAAUCUGAAGGUUGCCGUAACGUUAGCCUAUAAAAGUCAUUUGAGAACUUAUGCUAAAGGGGAAAAUUUUUCUAAGAAAAAUAAUUACCAAAUUGUAGUCUACUGUUGCAUUGAAUUCGAAUGAUUUUUCUGUGCUUUCUUUUAACAUCUGAAAGCAAUACCUCUUCAUUGUGGAAUUUGAAUGAUUUGAACUUGGAUUUCAAGUUUGUUUUCAAUUGGAAUAUGGGUUUCAAAAAACUGAAUUCAAGUCUACUGAAAAGUUUGGGUUGAAGUUGUUUGAUCCUGGUUUAUUGUUCCACUGGCUGAGCUGGUGCUGUCCUUUAUUGCUUAUAGCUGAGCUCUCAUUUUGUCAUUUUGCUUCCCAGGUAUUCCUUUAUUUAUGAAGCAACAAGUGAAUGUUAUCUAUGUGAUGGAAAUUUGAUGGAAUAUAAGUUUCAUUUAUUUAGUUUUGUGUUUCUCCUACUAUUUUCAAUACCUUAUAGUAGAUUCUUAGCUAUAAAUAUCAAUCAACAUUCCCCCUUCAUUACUGGUGUAUUUUGAUUCUAUAUGUGAGAAAGAG
rnacentral:lncRNA from 1 species